rnacentral:rRNA from 1 species
AACGAACGCUGGCGGCAGGCCUAACACAUGCAAGUCGAGCGAGGUAGCAAUACCUAGCGGCGGACGGGUUAGUAACGCGUGGGAACGUGCCCAAAGGUACGGAAUAGCCUCGGGGAAACUGAGAGUAAUACCGUAUGUGCCCUUCGGGGGUAAAGAUUUAUCGCCUUUGGGUCGGCCCGCGUUGGAUUAGGUAGUUGGUGGGGUAAGUGGCCUACCAAGCCGACGAUCCAUAGCUGGUUUGAGAGGAUGAUCAGCAACACUGGGACUGAGACACGGCCCAGACUCCUACGGGAGGCAGCAGUGGGGAAUCUUAGACAAUGGGGGAAACCCUGAUCUAGCCAUGCCGCGUGAGCGAUGAAGGCCUUAGGGUUGUAAAGCUCCUUCAGCUGGGAAGAUAAUGACGGUACCAGCAGAAGAAGCCCCGGCUAACUCCGUGCCAGCAGCCGCGGUAA